CACGAUUUCCGAUUUGGAUUCUCCAUCUAGUGGCGGACGGGUGAGUAACACGUGGGUGACCUACCUUUGAGUUUGGGACAACUACUGGAAACGGUAGCUAAUACCAAAUAAUAUACAGUUUCGUUUCUGUAUUAAAAGGCGCUUUACAGCGUCGCUCUUAGAUGGGCCUGCGGCGUAUUAGCUAGUUGGUGAGGUAAUGGCUCACCAAGGCGACGAUGCGUAGCCGGACUGAGAGGUUGAUCGGCCACAUUGGGACUGAGAUACGGCCCAGACUCC
rnacentral:rRNA from 1 species